AACGAACGCUGGCGGCAUGCCUAACACAUGCAAGUCGAACGAGACCUUCGGGUCUUUUGGCGCACGGGUGCGUAAGGCGUGGGAAGCUGCCCUUAGGUUCGGUAUAACUCCCCGAAGGGGGUGCUAAUACCGGAUAAUGUCUUCGGACCAAAGAUUUAUUGCCUUAGGAUGGGCCCGCGUUGGAUUAGCUAGUUGGUAGGGUAAAAGCCUACCAAGGCGACGAUCCAUAGCUGGUGUGAGAGGAUGAUCAGCCACACUGGGACUGAGACACGGCCCAGACUCCUACGGGAGGCAGCAGUGGGGAAUAUUGGACGAUGGGCGAAAGCCUGAUCCAGCAGUGCCGCGUGAGUGAUGAAGGCGUUAGGAUUGUAAAGCUCUUUUAACCGAGAUGAUAGUGACGGUACCGGGAGAAUAAGCUCCGGCUAACUCCGUG
rnacentral:rRNA from 1 species